rnacentral:rRNA from 1 species
UCUAUUAGAUUAAAACCAAUCGGGUUUCGGCCCGUCAAUUGGUGACUCUGAAUAACUAUAGCUGAUCGCAUGGUCUCGAACCGGCGACGUGUCUAUCAAGUGUCUGCCUUAUCAACUAUCGAUGGUAGUUUAUGUGCCUACCAUGGUUGUAACGGGUAACGGAGAAUAAGGGUUCGACUCCGGAGAGGGAGCCUGAGAAACGGCUACCACAUCCAAGGAAGGCAGCAGGCGCGCAAAUUACCCACUCUCGGCAUGAGGAGGUAGUGACGAAAAAUAACGAGACCGUUCUCUAUGAGGCCGGUUAUCGGAAUGGGUACAAUUUAAACCCGUUAACGAGGAUCUAUGAGAGGGCAAGUCUGGUGCCAGCAGCCGCGGUAAUUCCAGCUCUCAAAGUGUAUAUCGUCAUUGCUGCGGUUAAAAAGCUCGUAGUUGGAUCUGCGCCUCAGGACUUGGUCCGCCCACUGGGCGAGAACUGGGCUCCUGGGCUAGUUCUGCUGGUUUUCCCUACGUUGCCUUCAUCGGUCGCGUAGGGUGGCUAGCGAGUUUACUUUGAAAAAAUUAGAGUGCUUCACGCGGGCUUAUGUCUGAAUACUCGUGCAUGGAAUAAUAGAAUAGGAUCUCGGUUCUAUUUUGUUGGUUUUCUGAUCUGAGAUAAUGGUUAAGAGGGACGGACGGGGGCAUUCGUAUCGCUGCGUGAGAGGUGAAAUUCUUGGACCGUAGCGAGACGUCCGACUGCGAAAGCAUUUGCCAAGAAUGUCUUCAUUAAUCAAGAACGAAAGUCAGAGGUUCGAA